CUGCAGAAGUUGCAUGCACAACCUUACCUUUCCCCUAUUCUUGGGAUUUUUUAUCAGAUACACAUAGGGCUCUCCGCUCUCACCCUCGGGCCUCGGCACGGAUCCAUAGGAGAGCUCAAAUGGUGACCCUCUCCAUGGUAUUCGUCCCCAUCACACCCUCAUCCUCCCUCUCCACUCGAGGCCACAGCUCCUCCGUAUCCUUCCCCGCUAAGGGAGCAUGUAUGAUUGGGUGGUUGUGGCUUGUGUCUUCAAGCCGUUUGCUGUAGCUGAAAGCUGCUACAGCUGUGACAUUUUCAAAGGAAGCUAUUGUACUUGGAAGCAGGUAAAGGCUUGCAGCAGCAGCAGCCGAGCUAUAGUACUUGUUUUUCUAGCCCUAUACUUGGUAUGAAUAAAUCGUGUUGCCAUGUACUUUCUUUGUUAUGAAGCAAAGAGUUCUCAUCUAAGAACGAUAUGCUAUACUA